CUCUCAAUCAAUUGGAACAGGGAGCAGUGGGGUUCAGGUUGCUGGCAGCCUCCACCAGUUAAUCCAUUUGGCUGCAUGGGAAAUGGAGGCGUAGGCUACUAGGAAGAAAAACUCAAGGCUGAUGAGAAAGGCUCAAACCUGGACAGGCACAAGGCUAUGAAGGAUCCAGGGGGAAAAGAUGUUCUUUUCCACUAUAGAUCUGUACUAUUUCCCACAGAGAAGCCUCUUUGCUGCUUAAAAUCCUCCAAGAGCUCACAGAAGACCAAGACCCUUGAUAACUGAUGAGCCAGUGUGCCUCCAUCUUAGGCUUGAAGCCAUCUCAUGAUACAGCGUGACAAUCUGCCUCAGAGUCCUGCCGCCGCGACUUUUCUGCUUUGAUGGACUGGACCUUGGAACAAGGAGCAAAAAGAAAAUCUCUCUUCCUUAUGGU